rnacentral:rRNA from 1 species
AUUGAACGCUGGCGGCAGGCCUAACACAUGCAAGUCGAGCGGCAGCGCGGGGCAACCUGGCGGCGAGCGGCGAACGGGUGAGUAACGCGUAGGAAUCUACCCAGUAGCGGGGGAUAGCCCGGGGAAACUCGGAUUAAUACCGCAUACGCCCUAAGGGGGAAAGCAGGGGAUCGUAAGACCUUGCACUAUUGGAAGAGCCU